rnacentral:lncRNA from 1 species
GAAAACCCAUAAAUACACAGAACCCAAGACUUUCCUACUCCAAAAAUUUUCCCUUCAGAAAAUUUUGGCAAAAAAAAUCUUCCCUCCGUGCCUCUUUAUUUAAUUGAAGAAUAAUCUCAUAUACAAGUAAAGAUGAAACAUUUUCGCUUUCUUUAAUUGAAGAAGAAUCUCGAUCAUAUACAAGGUAAAGAUGAAACGACCUACACCUUCAAUAAUACAAAGAGACGAGAUUUGAAGCAACAAUUUGAAAUGCUAGUGAUUUGUACUGAAUACAAACAAUAUGGGUAAGUAAUUUAUAGAUUUUUGGGUUUAUCGAUAUAUAAUUCAUACUUCUGUACUUUUCCUUGGAUUGCUUUAUGAAUAUUAAUGUCGUUAGUAAUUUUUUUUUGUAAUAUCUAUUUUUCUUCCGCUUGGUAGAAACACGGAUUAUAGGGUAUAAAGUCCUUAAGUCUGGUUUGUAGGCCUGCUUUAGGUUCUAAUUAAUUUCAUUGAUUUGUGUUCUUCGUCAAGUAGUCUUCAAGGUAUGCCCUUCAAUCCUAUUUAUUUUCUGAUAUAAACUGAUGAAUUUGAAGUCUUGAAUGAACGGAUUUGGUUUAGUUUUACUAUCGGUCGAUUCAAUCUUGGUUGUCGGUUUUCGUCUUUCUUGAAAUAUGUCAAUGUUGAAUUAUAGAUCUUGUUUUAUCAUUAGAUUUUCAGAGAGAGUUGAAGUAUAUUAGAUAUAGGAUUUAAUAAAAGGAAUUAGAAAAAAUUAUGAGCUAAAGCACGACUAUAGUUCAAUAUACUUGUUUUUGGCCUUUGAUUUAUUAUUGUUUGAAUUGUAUUGUUAUGUUGUGGGGAUUUUAGCUAUGAUAAUCUUGAUAAGAGAGAAGUUCAACUUAUUAGUAACUUGGUUCUUAUACUCUAGCAAUUCAGGAUUAUGUUUCAAAUACAUGUACCGGAAAUUUUGUAAUUUUGUUUGGAGUUAAUGUCUUUUUUACUUGUUUUUGGGUUAAAAGUUGGUUAAGUAAUUUUUUCUUUGGGAGCUAGAAACUGAAGUUGAUUCAUAUAAGGCCGACUUUGCUACUGUUAAUAUGUAAACUGCAUGAUGACAUACACAUGAAACAUUCGUAUUAGAUAAUGAUGCAGCAAAAGUUCAUAUUGUAACCUGCAUAUGGAAGACAAAAAUGUAGCAAGCUCUUCAUCAGAAACAUAGAAGAGGCUAAGCCAAUCUUUCCACUCUAGAGCGUUCUCUGCUUGAGAAGAAAGAUUGUCCCAUAACUUAUGAGUUGCUUUCUUUAUAUUGUCCAACACUAUCAUUUGUAUCCCAGGAUUGUUAAUCUAAAAGAAACCUUCUUUUCUCUACUGCAUUGCAUAUCAUAUCUAGCACCACUUGAUCAUUUGGGUUUGACACGUCGAUGACAGGAAUGGACUCCUCAGUUAGUACAGUGCUAGUAGAGAUCUGUUCUCGAGGAGGUUGAACAAAUAUAUUGCUGAGGUAAUGUUUGAAGGACUAUAUCAGAAAGACCCUUAACUCCAUGACCUUCAUCUACUACACAAUUUUUUACAUCCAUCCAGUCAUAUAGAAUUCUUCAAAGUGUUGGAGCCAUAAGUGUUACAAUAAGCAUGAUAGUUUUCAAUUCAGAAUUUCUAGUCUGUCUUGCAAUUAAUAUUUUCUUAUUUUGUGAUGGAUGUUGAAUAGAGCUUUCAUUGUGAAUUUAGGCCAAAUGCAGUAUUUUCUAGUAGAAACUUAUCUUUUGGGAAAUUGAUUGAAGUAGUUGGAAUGUUGUGGGAUUUAGAUGGUUGGAAGUGGAAAGUUGAUUUAUUGGUUUUUGGAAGUGAGGGAAUUAAUGGAUAUGACAAAAUUAUUUUGGAAUGGUUAAAUUGCAUGGAUUUUGGAAUAGUUAAAUUUCCUGGUUUUUGGAAUAAUUAAUGGAAAUUAUUCCCCCAUUGCGUCACUUCAUUUUAUGUGGUGAUCGAGUCUGUUGUUUGUUAGAGGGACUUUACUAUAUUUCACCCAUAUAACAGAGUAUGUAUUCAUGCUUUACUCAAUCAUUCAUCUUGCUUUAGCCUCAUGAUUUCAUAUUCAUUGUACUCCUAAUUUUGUUAUGUAAUAUCUAUAUUCUUUUCUUUGCAGAAAGCAUCAUCAAUGGAUAUAAUGAACCAAUUGAACAAAAAGAACAGUCAUCGUAUCAGUUCACAUCCUUACUCAUACGUAGUGAAAGAGAUGAUAAAGGUAAUGAAUGUAUAUGUUAUCAAUAUGUACUUAAGUAAAUAAUUUUGCUAAUAAUUUGAAUAUAGUGUUUGAAACAUAAUUGUUAACUAUUAGGACGAUACAAGGUUUUCUGAAGUAGACACCUUUGAGUUCGCUUAUGCAGGAAAUAAUAAAUGUUACACUUAUACUGCAGCUAAGGCUCAACACUUAAGAAAGACUCAACGCUAUAACUUUUAUAUUGCUUAUCAUGUGCUAUAUUACUGGUGUAUAGCUAUAUUAUAUCUCUUGCAUAUUUUAAUUAUACAUGGGUUGUGUUUGUAGGAUGAGAUGCUUGUAAAAAAAUAUGAAUAUCUUGUAAAGAGGUAAAUGAGCACUAGCUUCCCGAAGAUAUCCCUUUGGAGGAAUACCUAUAGAUAAUCCUAAGGUUGGACUUAAUAUCAUGAUGUCCGUUCUAAGUGCAAAUCCCGGACAUCAAAUUCGUGGGCUGAAAGAUGGUUACCUUUGAGACAUUAAGACAUCUUCUUCCAAUGUACGCAAUAUGGAGGAGUUAGAAGCAGAAUGUGCUGCUCGAGUGAAAAUGGAGCAAAGGAUACAUAAUAAGCUGAAGGUUGUUAAGCAACUAUUCAAUUCUAUUCUGUAGUCUUGGCAUCACUCUAUGCAUCAGUUACGUUGUAAAGUUCCUAGCUUCGUGGUAACAUCAUUUACACUAUUGUCAAUAGAGAUUAACAUCAUUGAGAAAAAAUGAUGCUAUUCAUGAGGACAAAGAGAACAACAUUGGAGAGGAUCAGUUGAAUAUCUAAUUUACGAGGAUGAACAGUUAUGUUUUUGAGAUGCAUAAUAAUAGAUACAAAGAAUGUUUUAUAUCCAGGUGUAACCAUACUUACUCAAUGAUUUUUAUUUAUAGUUUCUUAAAAUAUUUUGGAUUCAAUAUUACAUUGAUUGGCACUACAUGUCUUAAUUGAAUUAUUGUUUUUUUUUUUGUAUCUUUA